rnacentral:rRNA from 1 species
AGAGUUUGAUCCUGGCUCAGGACGAACGCUGGCGGCGUGGAUUAGGCAUGCAAGUCGAACGGUAUGGUGCUUUCGGGCAUCAGAGAGUGGCGAACGGGUGAGUAACACGUAGGUGAUCUACCCUCAAGACGGGGACAACCCAGGGAAACUUGGGCUAAUACCGGGUGAUAGCAGCAGUGAUGUUGUUUAAAAGAUGGCUUUCGGGCUGUCGUUUGGGGAUGAGCCUGCGUCCUAUUAGCUAGUUGGUGUGGUAAAGGCACACCAAGGCGAUGAUAGGUAGGCGGCCUUAACGGGUGGUCGCCCACACUGGGAUUGAGAUACGGCCCAGACUCCUACGGGAGGCAGCAGUCGAGAAUAGUCUACAAUGGUCGGAAGACUGAUAGUGCGACGCCGCGUGAACGAGGAAGCCCUUCGGGGUGUAAAGUUCUUUUAUAUGUGAGCAGUGGGUUCUACGUUAAUAGCGUGGGAUCAGGGAUAUUAGCAUAUGAAUAAGCAACGGCUAACUCCGUGCCAGCAGCCGCGGUAACACGGGGGUUGCGAGCGUUGUCCGGAAUUACUAGGCGUAAAGGGCAGGUAGGCGGAUCUAUAAGUUUUUUGUCAAAUUCAACGGCUCACCCGUUGCUCGGCAGGAGAUACUGUAGAUCUGGAAUGCGGUUGGGGAAGACAGAAUUCCUGGUGUAGCGGUGGAAUGCGCAGAGAUCAGGAGGAAUAUCUAAGGCGAAGGCAGUCUUCUAAGCCGUAAUUGACGCUAAACUGCGAAGGUGUGGGUAUCAAACAGGAUUAGAUACCCUGGUAGUCCACACAGUAAACGAUAAUCACUGGGUGUCGGGUUCGUAGAGGAUUCGGUGCCGUAGCUAACGCGAUAAGUGAUUCGCCUGGGGAGUACGAUCGCAAGGUUGAAACUUAAAGGAAUUGACGG